AACUUUUCUCCUUUCUUCAAACCCUUCAUCCAUGGCGUCGCCUCUCUUUCUCCUCUUUCUCUUCACAAUUUCCUUCUCAAUUCCAUCUCAAGCUCGUCCUUGCAAAUCCCUUUUCCUUUCCUUUUCCCUUCACCGUCACCGAACCCUCGAUUCCCCCCAUCCCUUCUCCCAGAUGGCCAUUAUCGUCGACAUCACCGAAUUCAAAUCUUCCUCCUUUUCCUCUUCUCCCGAUCCCCUUUUCCCCUCCGUCGCCGACCCCACCGACAUCCUCCGCUUCGAUCUCCCUCGUCCUACCCCUGUUUCAGCAUCAACCCAACACUUCCCUUACGAUUUCACCUCUCUCCGUGAUCGCACCAAGGAUAUUCUCAGCGUU
rnacentral:lncRNA from 1 species